rnacentral:rRNA from 1 species
UACAGAGGUGGCGAGCGUUGUUCGGAUUUACUGGGCGUAAAGAGUACGUAGGCGGGAGCUUAAGCACAGGGUUUAAGACAAUGGCUUAACCACUGUAUGCCUUGUGAACUGAGCUUCUUGAGUGCAGGAGGGGAAAGCGGAAUUCCUAGUGUAGCGGUGAAAUGCGUAGAUAUUAGGAGGAACACCAGUGGCGAAGGCGGCUUUCUGGACUGUAACUGACACUGAGGUACGAAAGUGUGGGGAGCAAACAGGAUUAGAUACCCUGGUAGU